ACGUAUGUUACAUGCAAAAACAUCUCUUCUUUAUGGUUUUGUCACCAUACUGCAAAUUUAAACGUUAUAUUGCAUACUGGUGUGUAAUUUUUUUUUCUUUUGUUGUGAAGUUGGAUUUGAUAUAUGAGUGUGUUGUUGUUUGUGAAUGCAGAACGAAUGGGUUAUUAGUAGAAUUUUCCAGAAACAAGCAGAUGGUAAGAAGAUGCAUAUCUCCAGUUUAAUGAAGCUCGGUUCAGGGAUCAACCAAUUUGAACCGGUCGGUUUACCUCCCCUGAUGGAUUCUUCUCCAUACCUCAAGAGCGGAGGAGGAGACACUUUCGCCUGGUCGUUGUCUCACGUGCCAUGCUUCUCCGACCAAACAACCGAGGACAAGAGUCACCUCUCCGAGUCAAGAGAUGAAUGUAACUUUACCAUAUUUGGUUCUUCAUCGACUCACUUCAUCUCCAGGAUUUCAGUACAUCGGAGAACGAAUUAACCGCGAGUUCUUGGCACGGUCACGAUAUUUCUGGUUCAGCAGCUCCGGUUGAGAUGGAUUGCUUUUGGAAUUUCUGAAUUUGGAAAGUGUAACAUAUCAAAAUUGGGGUGUAUAUAUGGGGAAAACAAUUAUAGGGUAUUUUAGGGGUUUAGAGCACCUCCAGUGGAGUCCUAAACACACAUAUAUGUGUAUAUAUAUAUAUAUAUAUAUAUAUAUACACACGUAUAUGUAAUUGUGGGGGGUCAUAAUUUUGUGGAAAAUCUAACCCAAAGUUUCUUAAUUUUUUUGGGUAAGUUAUAGUGUUCCUGGCUUUGCUCUAGGUUGUAGACUCUAGGACUUUAGGUUAUAGAAAGAUAUUGAAAGAAACUUGUAACAUUUUGUAAAAAAAAGAACUAGCCUGUGAAGAUUGAUUCUCUUACCAUGUAAAUAACUUACCAAAUGUACUCUGUAUUUAGACACGGCUCCAUGAUUAUCUUUCCCUCUUUAACAUGACAAGAGGACAAGCACCAAUACAUACUUGAAGAGCAAGGUUCACAUUUCACAUAAUACUUAAUACAUGUAUAAAGAUUACAAGCACAAUAUCUUCACAGAUGCAGAACCUAAUCACAUCUUAUAUAUUUCAUUAAAUAUUAAAAAUGGGGAAGAAGUCCAGUUCAUCUACAUUUUGAAUUUUGUCUGAUGAUAUGUUUAUAUUAUUAACCUUUUAUAUAUUUUUGUGUACAUAUCUGUUAAUUCCACAUUAACAAACUAAAAAGCCAAAAUUAAUUUAUGAAAAUUAGGAAGAUUCAAUUUUCAUACGAUACAAUAAAAUAAUUAAUCAAAUUCAGCUGCUAUUUGUUAUUGGUUUUGGGAGAAAUUAUAUGUAUAGUUUACAUGCUCUUGUUUCCUCCAGCUUCUUGAAAAGGCAAAGGUACAGACUUGAAGGCUCUGUACUUCCCCACAUUGUUCAAAUGCUCAUUCUCCAACCUGAUUGCAACACACCAAGCUAUAACAUAAAAAUUCAUCUUUCUUGAUUUAAAAGUAAAAUUUGAACCUGAAAAAGUUCCAAAUGCCACGACGAAUAAUCUCUAAGAUGGCAACAACAGCAACCAAAGCUCUUUUGUGCAAAAAUGGAGCUUCUCUAAUCCCAAGAACCGUCUGCAUCCAAGCCAGCCUCAGCACCACAUUCACCACCUUCAUUUAAUUUACAACAUCUCAGUCCAACAGUUAAUAAGUUGUAACAUUCCACGAAAAAGAAAAGCUUCUGUGUUUGGUUUUAAUUACCAUGACAAUGAAGUAUGUGCUUUUGUGAGGGAUUAAGAGUUUGUCACGAAGCCAAGGGUUUUUGGAGUUGGGGUUCAUGAGACCCCAAUCCAUGAAAAUGUCCCAGUAUGUAUUGAACAAUGUGGCAAUGGUCGACGUGGCUACAGCCACAGUAAGCAAGUACCUCCCUUUCUGCAUCUCGAAGAUUGUCCUAGUCGCAACCGCCAAUAUAGUCGAGAGAUACUUUAGCGCGUUUAGGCCCUGAUUUUUGUCUCUCUCCUCUACCAACCUCCUUACACACUGCAACCAAAAAAAAAAACAUAGUUUUGAACAUUUUGAAAAUAUGUUAAGAUAAAUAGGCAAUCCAAGUACCAAAAUAUUAGACAAAAAAAUCUAAUAUAUAAAUAGUGUCCAACUCCACUUAUGAUGAUGAGAUAUUUUGAAAAGUAGCAUUCCAAAAAAUAAAUUUAUGAGGGUUUAGGUUUAAAUCGGAUAAUAUCCAUAUUAAAGGAAUUUUCAUCUGGUGACGAACAUGUAGCUCUAAUAUAACUCUAGUCCAGGGAAAGACGUCUGAUCGGUCUUUCAUAACAUAUACAAACAUUCCUUUUCAUGUAACGUAUAUAGAUCUAGUACCUGAGCAAAGCGGAACCAGUAAGGAACUAUGGCAACGACAAGGUAGAGUUUUUUAUAAAUGUCACUCUCAUAGCAUUCAUGUGUUCGUUUCUUGAAAUCUCCGGCCCAUCCAUAAUAGCAAACAUAAAACAAUAAGCUUCUAAAUGCUUGCACCUGCCAAACCAAAACCUAAUCAAUGAUAUUCUAAAGAAACACACAAACUUGAUAACCGGAUCCUAAAACCAACCAACUCGUUACCUGGCUCGUUAAUUGAUCUGCGAGAAAGAAGUCCGGGAGAAUAACCUAGCAAUAUACAACAAACUCAUAAGCUCCGUGGAACAGCACACUACAGAGAUUACUUGGACCGCACGUUACCUUAUAGAGCGGGCUUAGAACACAGCGGAUGACGGAUCCGAUGAAGAAAUAUCGGCUUGCCCGAUAUAUUAUAUCGAAUGGACAGAAAGAGACCGUCAACAAGCACUGAGAUCAUAAGCCAAAAAGAACAUUUCACAGCUAACAACGUGGAUGUACAUUGAUAUCAAUGAUCAAGAACUUACGAAGAGAAGAGCUAAAGGAACUAGCUCCGUGAUGACACUAAAACUUUUGGUUCUUGGAUCCAUUUCCAUGUCGAGAUUAGAGAGUACUCCUCCGAAUGUUAGAACAGCUAGACCAGCGCCAACCAGAAGAACUUCUCUAUAACCUAGAUCGGUCCCAUGCUCAAAACCAAAGAUAAACGGGUAGUUUACUCUAUAUCUACCCCAAAAGUAUAUGUUUCCUGCAAACAUAAACAGAUGAACCGCAACGAACCCCAACAAGCUGCGGAUAAAAGGCGUUACAAUAACCGCGGACUUGAACUCGCAAAAUGAUGAAUGUAACGUUUAAAACGAAACGAACCUGUAAAGAGGGAAGAUGUUCUCCAUAUACUGAUGUCUGCCUUCGCUUUUUGCUAUGCCUCUUAUAUGUACAACAACGGCUAUUGAAAUUGCGAGAGCCGCAGCGCAACCAGACAAGAAGCCUGUAGACAUGUAGAUGAUAUGUUUUAGUCUACUAGAAAGAAAUAAACCUUAAAGAUUUUUGAGUACCGAGGCAGUAUGUGACUCUGUGUUUCUCCCUCUUAGUUUUAGGCCUUAAAGAUUUCAUCCCGUCUCGGUGAUUUCCAUUGGCGAAAUGUUUAAUAAACGUGGCUUCCACUCUUGACAUGAGCCUCGAGACCUGAAAAUGUUAGAAGACUAAGUCUGGUUUUAAUGUAACAUGCAAGAGGGGUUGGUUGGUUCUUGUAAUAACCUCAUCGCAGCUGCCUAAAUAAGAAUGGUCCACUGUGUUUAGAUAAGGCUUCGAUGUAUUCCUCGAAGUAGUCUGUGAAACAUUACAAAAAUAAAAUAUCAAAUCAAAGCAAUAACAGAUGCUUAGGUUAGGAGGUUACAAACCUUGUCAUACUUCUUUAAUAUCUUUGAAAAUGCCAACUGAUUCAAGAAGCUGUAAACACAGAGAGGGGUGAUGAGAAUACAUAUAUAGUUUUUGGGAAGAUCUAAAGAAUAACAAUUCUUACCAAUAACUCUUUAGGAACCUAAGUUUCUGGUAGAACUCAACAAAAGCGCGGCUCAUAAGCUCCUCAGCUCCCUUAAGCUCAACUUUGCUGAAGUUUUGCUGGCUUGUGAGACCCAUGAUCAUGCUUUUAAGAGUUUGCAAUGGAGUUUCCGCUUCGAUCUUGAUCUUUAUAUGAUCCAAUAUUUCCACUGGAGCAGGUUUGUAGACUUUCUUGUCUUUCUUGUGUUCCUUUUGUUCCACUUCUUUGAUCACUUGCAGUGGUGAAGUGGCUACACAUCAAAACAUUCACAAAAGUUGAUUCUGGAAGUGACUUAAAUCUCUGCGCACCAGUAAAAUGCCACGUAUCUAGAAACCCUUAAUAUAAAACUGUUAUUUUGAUGAGAGAUAGAGCUAAACCUGGAGUCCUAGGGGUUGAAUGUGGAGAAGAACUAGCACUAGAGACAGCACUAAUGUUGGGAAAAACAAUGUUUGGAUUCUCAACUUUAACCCUAAGAGCGAUCAAAACGUUUAGUUGUCUACUAAGCUCAUCUGCUUCCUCCAUAACACUCUCCACUUUCUGCUUAUAGAAUCUCAACACCUUGUUGAACUCUCCAUCAAGCCGCCUGAAAAACUGAACGUCCAUAUCUCCUCCUUCCUCAGGUGGAUAAAAAGUAUAUUAGUUUUUGGUUAUUCGUUUGAUAUAAACUACUAUAAGAGCUUGGCUGCUCUGUUUCGAAAAAAAAAAGGGCUUGCCUGGUCAAACCAACUUCUCUUCUCUCUUACAAAAAAAAUUAAGUUCUUCCUCUUCUUUCACAUCAAGAACUCUUUCUAUAUCUUCUUGUUUCGUCUUUAACACCAAUAAAGAAUAGCAAAGCUCUGGUCAAACCAACUUCUCUUCUCUCUUACAAAAAAAAUUAAGUUCUUCCUCUUCUUUCACAUCAAGAACUCUUUCUAUAUCUUCUUGUUUCGUCUUUAACACCAAUAAAGAAUAGCUUCACCUUUGAUCAUUUCUGAAGGAAAUGGAUAGCGAGGUAUCAAGAACCGGGGAGAUAACAAAAGAUUCGGAGCAGACUGAUUUACCACCUGGCUUUAGAUUUCACCCAACAGAUGAAGAACUCAUAAGUUACUAUCUGAGACCAAAGGUUCUAAACACCUUCUUCUCCGCUAUAGCCAUUGGUGAAGUUGAUCUCAAUAAGGUUGAACCAUGGGACAUACCAUGUAAGUUUAGUUAUUUUUUCUACUUUCUGUAUAUUUCUAUGUUUUUUUCCUUUAACCACUCUAUUUUCAUGGUGGAACAGGGAAGGCUAAGAUUGAGGAAAAAGAGUGGUACUUCUUCUGCUUAAGAGAUCGGAAAUACCCGACCGGUUUAAGGACGAACCGGGCUACUAAGGCCGGUUAUUGGAAAGCUACAGGCAAAGACAAAGAGAUCUUCAAAGAAAAAUCUCUUGUUGGUAUGAAGAAAACUUUGGUUUUCUACAAAGGAAGAGCUCCUAAAGGAGUAAAAACCAAUUGGGUCAUGCAUGAAUAUCGCCUAGAAGGCAAAUAUGCAAUCGACAAUAAUCAUAAAACUGCUAAGGUAACAAUGUAAUAGUUGCAGUAACUGACCUUUGAUACACAUCACACUUGUUGCUUAAGUGACCGCUAUCUUACAUAAUAGUUUGUUACGUAUGUUACAUGCAAAAACAUCUCUUCUUUAUGGUUUUGUCACCAUACUGCAAAUUUAAACGUUAUAUUGCAUACUGGUGUGUAAUUUUUUUUUCUUUUGUUGUGAAGUUGGAUUUGAUAUAUGAGUGUGUUGUUGUUUGUGAAUGCAGAACGAAUGGGUUAUUAGUAGAAUUUUCCAGAAACAAGCAGAUGGUAAGAAGAUGCAUAUCUCCAGUUUAAUGAAGCUCGGUUCAGGGAUCAACCAAUUUGAACCGGUCGGUUUACCUCCCCUGAUGGAUUCUUCUCCAUACCUCAAGAGCGGAGGAGGAGACACUUUCGCCUGGUCGUUGUCUCACGUGCCAUGCUUCUCCGACCAAACAACCGAGGACAAGAGUCACCUCUCCGAGUCAAGAGAUGAAUGUAACUUUACCAUAUUUGGUUCUUCAUCGACUCACUUCAUCUCCAGGAUUUCAGUACAUCGGAGAACGAAUUAACCGCG
rnacentral:lncRNA from 1 species